rnacentral:lncRNA from 1 species
CUAUUAACAGCUCUGCUGAUAAAGCAGUGGAGCACAGCCAGGAGAUCUUCAGCCAGCUGAUCCGUCUCAUAGAGAAACGUAGCUCUGAGGUGGAGCAGCAGGUCAGAUCCCAGCAGGAACGUGAAGUGAGUCGAGUCAAAAAGCUUCAGGAGAAGCUGGAGCAGGAGAUCACUGAGCUGAAGAGGAAAGAUGCUGAUCUGCUGAAGCUUUCACUCACAGAGGACCACAACCAGUUUCUGCACAGUUACCCCUCACUGUCAGGACCGGGUCAACCUGCAGACUCAUCCAGAAUCAACAUCCGUCCUCAGAGAUACUUUGAAGGGGUGACAGCAGCUGUGUCAGAGCUCAGAGAUAAACUCCAGGAUCUUAUGACAGAGACGUGGACAAACGUCUCACAGGCAGUGACUCAAGUGGAUGUUUUACUGUCAGAACCUCCAGAACCAGAACCCAAGACCAGAGCAGGUUUCUUAAGAUAUUCACAAAGAAUCACACUGGAUCCAAACACAGCACACAGACAGCUGUUAUUAUCUGAUGGAAACAGAAGAGCAACCUCAACUAAACAAAAACAGUCAUAUACUGACCACCCAGACAGAUUCACCGUUUAUGAACAGGUCCUGAGUAGAGAGAGUCUGACUGGACGUUGUUACUGGGAGGUGGACUGGGGAGGGUACUGGGUUUAUGUAGCAGUCACAUACAAGACUAUCAGCAGAGCAGGAAAGUCAUUGGAUUGUUUAUUUGGAGACAAUGACAAAUCUUGGAGGUUACUCUGUUCUAAAGACAGUUAUGAAUUUGUAUACAACAGUGUCAGCACUCAUGUCUCAGGUCCUUUGUCCUCCAGGGUAGGAGUGUACCUGGAUCACAGAGCAGGUAUUCUGUCCUUCUACAGCAUUUCUGAAACCAUGACUCUCCUCCACAGGGUCCAGACCACGUUCACUCAGCCGCUACAUGCUGGACUGACAUUACUCAGGUCUAAUGGAGCUUAUGCUGAGUUUAUUGAACUGAAAUAAACUCCUUAUUUAUAUGGUGAUCAUGGUCCUAUAGUGCGAUCUCCAUAAAGUAAAAAAAAAAAAAAAGAGUAGAAAAAUCCUUUCAUCCAAGCAGGUGAAGGGCUGCAAAAACAUUUACCAAUGGGAGCUGUCCAUCCCAGAGAGCUCCUAUAGGUCAAUCUAAGGGUUUAAAAUUUUGAUAUGUGGCUCUAAAAUUUCUUUCAGAUCGAGGAACGCAAAAAGAAAACUCCUCCUCCAUCUCCGCUGCUGCAGUUUCAGCACUGAGUCUUCCUCUGCAUGCAACCUGAUGCUUUUGAUUUAAAGUAGACCCGGUCUCUACAUCCAUCAGUGCAUCAGUCUCCUAUCUGGCCUUAAACAGACAAUACUCCAUGGCAGAUUACCUGAGUUCAGUAACUGACCCUAGACUGAGGAGAAACUUGACUAUGUACAGACUCAGCAACCACAGCCCGGCCAUAGAGAGCGGCCGCCACAGCUAGACCUGGCUGCCCAGAAAGGAGUGGAUGUGUCGGCUUUGUCCUCACACACAGCUGGAGACAGAGCAGGACUUCCUACGAGACUGUGAUAUAUACACACACAUCAGGACACACACAUACACUCGACUCACACACAUAACACCCAACUUCACUCUACUCACAGACUUGGAAAAGUUUAGACAUCUAUAAGGAGAACAAAGGGCCACUGCUUUAGAAGCACCAACGUAUGUGAAAACAUGCCAUAAAAAAGAGAGGAAGAGCUGCUCAAAAUAGCCUAAACAGCUGCUCCUGAGUUUUGACUGCAACAUGAUACUCACACUAUUUGUUUUUUAUAUUUCAUGUUAUUAUUAUUAUUAUUAUUAUUAUUAUUAUUAUUAUUAUUAUUAUUAAUAAUAAUAAUAAUGUUGUUGUUGUUGUUAUUAAUAUUAUUAUUAGUAGUAGUAGUAGUAGUAUUUGAUAUUUUUUUUGUUAUCACUAUUGUUGUUAUUGUUGUUAUUGUGAUGAAAUGCUUUGGCAAAAUUGUAAUAACAGUCAUGCCAAUAAAGCUUAUUGAAAUUGAAAUUGAGAGAGCAAAAGAGAAAGAGAGAGAGAGAAAGAGAGAGAGUUUAUAUGUGGUGUAUAUUCAAAUAUGUGUGGAUAUCAGGAUAAAACUGUGGAAGUCUCUCUGUGAUCCAUGAGGCUUAUAUGAGGGAAAUAAAUGUUGAUGAAUUUAGUGAAAUGUUGGUGCAGCUGAUCUUCAGGAGCGCUGCAGCUUUAAUAAACUCUGCUUGUUGGAGUUUGAGAGUCUAAAGUUCACAUCGCUGCUCCUCUUCCUGGAUUAUACAAGAGCUGGAUUUCCCCUCCCUCGUCUCUCACACAGCACAGUCCACUCUGCACAAUCACUUCCUUGUUCCCUCCCCUUCAGAUCUACAGUCUAAAGGCUGGGUGUAACCAGUGUGUGCUGAGCUGAUCCUGCUGGCACACAUGUUGUUGAGAUCAGAGCUCAGACUAGUUUCACUUCUGAGAAAACAAAACUCAGUCAGUCAGUCAGUCAGUCAGUCAGUCUUCAACAGCGAGUGUUGAAAUGGCGCAGAAAGGAGUUCAUCUGGACCAGGAAUCUUUCUCUUGUUCCAUCUGUUUGGAUCUACUGCAGGAUCCAGUGACUGUUACCUGUGGACACAGCUUCUGCAUGAGCUGUAUUCAAACCUACUGGGAUAAAAAGGGUGAGAAGAAGAUCUACAGCUGUCCUCAGUGCAGAGAGACCUUUACACCAAGGCCUGUCCUGAAGAAAAACACCAUGUUAGCAGGUUUAGUGGAGGAACUGAAGAAGAGCGGACUCCAAGCUGCUCCUGAUAAUCCCUCUGAUGCUGGACAUGAAGAUGUGGCCUGUGAUUUCUGCAGCGAGAGAAAACUGAAAGCUGUCAAGUCCUGUCUGCAAUGUCUGGCUUCAUACUGCCAGAUUCACCUCCAGCCUCAUUUUGAAUCACCUACAUUUAAGAAACACAAGCUGGUGGAGCCCUCCAAAAAGCUCCAGGAGAACAUCUGCUCUCGUCAUGAUGAGGUGAUGAAGCUGUUCUGCCGCACUGAUCAGCAGCCUAUCUGUUAUCUCUGCUGUGUGGACCAACACAAAGACCACGACACAGUCUCAGCUGCAGCAGAAAGGACUGAGAGGCAGAAAGAUCUGGAGGAGAGUCGAGAAAACAUCCAGCAGAGAAUCCAGGACAGAGAAGAGGAUGGGAAGCUGCUCCAACAGGAGGUGAAGACUAUUAACAGCUCUGCUGAUAAAGCAGUGGAGCACAGCCAGGAGAUCUUCAGCCAGCUGAUCCGUCUCAUAGAGAAACGUGGUUCUGAGGUGGAGCAGCAGGUCAGAUCCCAGCAGAAACGUGAAGUGAGUCGAGUCAAAGAGCUUCAGGAGAAUCUGGAGCAGGAGAUCACUGAGCUGAAGAGGAAAGAUGCUGAUCUGCUGAAGCUUUCACUCACAGAGGACCACAACCAGUUUCUGUACAGUUACCCCUCACUGUCAGGACCGGGUCAACCUGCAGACUCAUCCAGAAUCAACAUCCAUCCUCAGAGAUACUUUGAGGAGGUGACAGCAGCUGUGUCAGAGCUCAGAGAUAAACUCCAGGAUCUUCUGACAGAGACGUGGACAAACGUCUCACAGGCAGUGACUCAAGUGGAUGUUUUACUGUCAGAACCUCCAGAACCAGAACCCAAGACCAGAGCAGGUUUCUUAAGAUAUUCGCAAAGAAUCACACUGGAUCCAAACACAGCACACAGACAGCUGUUAUUAUCUGAUGGAAACAGAAGAGCAACAUUUACUCCAGAACUACAGUCUUAUCCUGAUUACCCAGACAGAUUCACUGGUUAUUAUCCUCAGGUCCUGAGUAGAGAGAGUCUGACUGGACGUUGUUACUGGGAGGUGGAGCGGAGAGGGUACUGCGUUUUUGUAGCAGUCGCGUACAAGACUAUCAGCAGAGCAGGGUAUUCAGAUGGUUGUUUCUUUGGAGACAAUGACAAAUCUUGGAGAUUAUUAUGUUCUAAAGACAGGUAUGAAUUUGUGCAUAACAAAGUCCGCACUUAUGUCUCAUGUCCUCCGUCCUCCAGAGUAGGAGUGUACCUGGAUCACAGAGCAGGUAUUCUGUCCUUCUUCAGCGUUUCUGAAACCAUGACUCUCCUCCACAGAGUCCAGACCACAUUCACUCAGCCACUACAUGCUGGACUGAGGUUAUGCUUCAUUGAUAGUGACUCUGCUGAGUUUAUUGAAGUAAAAUAAACAGAAUUUUGAGUCAAUCAGACCAAAAACAUGUAAUGAGAACACUGAAGUCUUGAAAUAUUCUGGUUUGUAAAUGUUUGUGGAUCAGUCUCACCAAAACCUCUCGGUUUAGUUCUUCAUUUCAGCUUUUUCAUUCCUUUCUAAAGAUGCUGAUUUGGUUGCAACUUUAAGGACAGUGUUUGUGGAUCACUUUUAUUACUUGUGUUUCUCAUUUAGAAAAAUCUUCACUGAAGUUUGAUAACAACAGCAUCAAGAUGAUCAUUUAUUCAAAUCACCUUCAGUUGGUGCAGAUGUUGAAGGUCUGAGACUUUUUAAAAAAGUGACAUGAAAAUAAGGAAAGACCUUAUUUCCUGUCCAAGUAAUUAUUAUUACUUCAAAUUAUUUGUGCUUUCUCUGUUUGCUAAAUAUUUGUAUUCAUGUCAUAGGUGGAUAUUUCUGUCUGCUUCUGUUGGAUCAGUCUGUUUGUAAAGACAUCUAUAUUGACACUCUUGGCAGAUCAACCUGUUGUUAUGAGCUUUUCAAUCACUCUAAUAAUAAUCACAUUCAUUAGUCUGACUGUUUUUAUGUUUCUGACUCGGCUCCAAUUGUGGUAAAAUCUCUGCUUGUGGGGAAGAAAACAAUAAAAAUCAU